rnacentral:rRNA from 1 species
GACGAACGCUGGCGGCGUGCUUAACACAUGCAAGUCGAACGGAAAGGCCCUGCUUUUGUGGGGUGCUCGAGUGGCGAACGGGUGAGUAACACGUGAGUAACCUGCCCUUGACUUUGGGAUAACUUCAGGAAACUGGGGCUAAUACCGGAUAGGAGCUCCUGCUGCAUGGGGGGGGUUGGAAAGUUUCGGCGGUUGGGGAUGGACUCGCGGCUUAUCAGCUUGUUGGUGGGGUAGUGGCUUACCAAGGCUUUGACGGGUAGCCGGCCUGAGAGGGUGACCGGCCACAUUGGGCCUGAGAUACGGACCAGAGUCCUACGGGAGGCAGAAGGGGGGAAUAUUGCACAAUGGGCGGAAGCCUGAUGCAGCAACGCCGCGUGCGGGAUGACGGCCUUCGGGUUGUAAACCGCUUUCGCCUGUGACGAAGCGUGAGUGACGGUAAUGGGUAAAGAAGCACCGGCUAACUACGUG